UACGUAGGCAGCAAGCGUUGUUCGGAGUUACUGGGCGUAAAGGGUGUGUGGGCGGUUGUUUAAGUUUGGUGUGAAAUCUCCCGGCUCAACUGGGAGGGUGCGCCGAAUACUGAAUGACUCGAGUGCGGGAGAGGAAAGUGGAAUUCCUGGUGUAGCGGUGAAAUGCGUAGAUAUCAGGAGGAACACCGGUGGUGUAGACGGCUUUCUGGACCGUAACUGACGCUGAGACACGAAAGCGUGGGUAGCAAACAGG
rnacentral:rRNA from 1 species